AUUGAACGCUGGCGGCAUGCCUUACACAUGCAAGUCGAACGGCAGCACGGGAGCAAUCCUGGUGGCGAGUGGCGAACGGGUGAGUAAUAUAUCGGAACGUGCCCAGUCGUGGGGGAUAACGCAGCGAAAGCUGUGCUAAUACCGCAUACGAUCUAUGAAUGAAAGCGGGGGAUCGCAAGCCCUCGCGCGAUUGGAGCGGCCGAUAUCAGAUUAGCUAGUUGGUGGGGUAAAGGCCCACCAAGGCGACGAUCUGUAGCUGGUCUGAGAGGACGACCAGCCACGCUGGAACUGAGACACGGUCCAGACUCCUACGGGAGGCAGCAGUGGGGAAUUUUGGACAAUGGGCGCAAGCCUGAUCCAGCAAUGCCGCGUGCAGGAUGAAGGCCUUCGGGUUGUAAACUGCUUUUGUACGGAACGAAACGGUCCUUUCUAAUACAGGGGGCUAAUGACGGUACCGUAAGAAUAAGCACCGGCUAACUACGUGCCAGCAGCCGCGGUAACAC
rnacentral:rRNA from 1 species